AAAGGAAUAGACGGGGGCCCGCACAAGCGGUGGAGCAUGUGGUUUAAUUCGAAGCAACGCGAAGAACCUUACCAAGUCUUGACAUCCCAUAGACCGCUGUAGAGAUAUGGCCUCCUUUCGAGGCUGUGGUGACAGGUGGUGCAUGGUUGUCGUCAGCUCGUGUCGUGAGAUGUUGGGUUAAGUCCCGCAACGAGCGCAACCCUUGCUUUUAGUAGCCAGCAUUUUGGAUGGGCACACUAGAGGGACUGCCGUGGAUAACACGGAGGAAGGUGGGGAUGACGUCAAAUCAUCAUGCCCCUUAUGACUUGGGCAACACACGUGCUACAAUGGCGACUACAAAGAGAAGCGAUACAGUGAUGUGGAGCAAACCUCAAAAAAGUCGUCCCAGUUCGGAUUGUAGUCUGCAACUCGACUACAUGAAGCUGGAAUCGCUAGUAAUCGCGGAUCAGAAUGCCGCGGUGAAUACGUUCUCGGGCCUUGUACACACCGCCCGU
rnacentral:rRNA from 1 species